UGUUGAUGAUGACAACUCCUAAGGCUUGUUUCUCAGAACAUUCGCAGUGGCCGCCUAAGAGCUUUCGCCUUCGCCAGGUUUGAGAGCUAGUGCUGCUUAUUCCUUCCUUGGAUGUCUGAAACU